rnacentral:rRNA from 1 species
UGAGUACGAGAUGCUACGGCAUCGAAGCAGUCUAUGUCAUACUUCCAAGAAAAGCUUGCAAUGUCAUAAACAAAUAAUGCCUGUACCAUAACCGACACAGGUGGGUAGGUAGAGUAUACUAAGGGGCGCGAGAUAACUCUCUCUAAGGAACUCGGCAAAAUGACUCCGUAACUUCGGGAGAAGGAGUGCCUUAUUUUUAUAAGGUUGCAAUAACAAGAUCCAAGCAACUGUUUACCAAAAACACAGGUCUCCGCUAAGUCGUAAGACGAUGUAUGGGGGCUGACGCCUGCCCAGUGCCAGAAGGUUAAAGAAGUUGGUUAGCAUUAGCGAAGCUGAUAACUGAAGCCCUGGUGAACGGCGGCCGUAACCAUAACGGUCCUAAGGUAGCGAAAUUCCUUGUCGGGUAAGUUCCGACCCGCACGAAAGGCGUAAUGAUUUGGAUACUGUCUCGGAGAGGGGCUCGGUGAAAUAGACUUGUCUGUGAAGAUGCGGACUACCUGCACCUGGACAGAAAGACCCUAUGAAGCUUUACUGUAACUUGAGAUUGAAAUUGGACUUUAUCUGCGCAGUAUAGGUGGGAGACGUUGAAAAUAUUCUUGCGGGAAUAUUGGAGUCAUCAGUGAGAUACCACUCUUAUAAUGUUAGAUUUCUAACUUUGUAUCAUUAUCUGGUCAAAGAACAGUCUCAGGCGGGCAGUUUGACUGGGGCGGUCGCCUCCCAAACGGUAACGGAGGCGCACAAAGGUUUCCUCUGAACGUGUAGAAAUCGUAUCUAGAGUGUAAAGGCAUAAGGAAGCUUGACUGUGAGACCUACAAGUCGAGCAGGGACGAAAGUCGGUCUUAGUGAUCUGACGGUGCUGAGUGGAAAGGCCGUCACUCAACGGAUAAAAGUUACUCUAGGAUAACAGGCUGAUCUCCCCCAAGAGUUCACAUCGACGGGGAGGUUUGGCACCUUGAUGUCGGCUCAUCGCAUCCUGGGGCGGUAGUACGUCCCAAGGGUUGGGCUGUUCGCCCAUGAAAGCGGUACGCGAGCUGGGUUCAGAACGUCGUGAGACAGUUCGGUCCAUAUCCGGUGUAGGCGUUAGAAUAUUGAGAGGAGCCUUCUUUAGUACGAGAGGACCGAGAAGGACAUACCUCUGGUGUACCAGUUAUCGUGCCAACGGUAAACGCUGGGUAGCCAUGUAUGGAGAGGAUAACCGCUGAAAGCAUCUAAGUGGGAAGCCCACCUCAAGAUAAGUAUUCUCU